rnacentral:rRNA from 1 species
GCAAGUCGUACGAGAACUCUUCUGCUUGCAGAAGAUAGUAAAGUGGCGCACGGGUGAGUAACGCGUGGGUAAUCUACCUCCGAAUCGGGGAUAACCCGCCGAAAGGCGAGCUAAUACCGGAUAAUAUCUUUUUAACUUCGGUUUUUGAGAUCAAAGGUGGUCUCUACAUGUAAGCUACUGUUUGGAGAUGAGCCCGCGUACCAUUAGCUUGUUGGUAGGGUAAUGGCUUACCAAGGCUUCGAUGGUUAGCUGGUCUGAGAGGAUGAUC